UACGUAGGCAGCAAGCGUUGUUCGGAGUUACUGGGCGUAAAGCGCACGUAGGCGGAUUUGUAAGUCAGGGGUGAAAUCCCGGGGCUCAACCCCGGAACUGCCUUUGAUACUGCGAAUCUCGAGUCCGGAAGAGGUGAGUGGAAUUCCUAGUGUAGAGGUGAAAUUCGUAGAUAUUAGGAAGAACACCAGUGGCGAAGGCGGCUCACUGGUCCGGUACUGACGCUGAGGUGCGAAAGCGUGGGGAGCAAACAGG
rnacentral:rRNA from 1 species